AUGGAGGAUGUUGACUUCAAAGAUAAAACAGGCUGGGCUAUAGAGGGAGAACACAAGGUCCCUUCUGUGACUCCGUCUGGACCUGAACUCUUGAAGACCAGUAGUUCUGAGAUUCCCAAGUACACCUCUCCAAAUUGGAAGUUGUGGAGGCGCCAGUGAUAGGCUAAGUAAACUGUUAUGGCUGAUGCUUUUAGCGACCAUUGACAUGUCUGCAAUAUUAAACACAGUGAUCCAGACAGAGGAUCAAAUAUAAACACAAGCAUGGACAAACAAAUAGAUGACGGUCACCAAGGAAAUGCAUAACAAUGCAUGGUUAUGGCAUGCAAUAUAGCCAGUGUCUCCAAUCCAGGUACAUCUGAAAUCUUCUAUUCAUCUUCUAUUAGCCAGCACAUGAUUUGGUUCUGUGUUUUAUUAGUCAUCUAUUUUAGAAUGGCAUACGGGCA
rnacentral:lncRNA from 1 species